AUGCCGCUGGCAGGUCGCCGCGUCCUUGUAUGUUGUGUGCUCUCAGCGAUGUCGACCUUCGCGCUCACAGCGAUGCGAAUACCAAAGAGAUUCAUCAAGGAGAUUGACAAGUUAAGACGGCGUUUUCUCUGGGCGGGAGACGAAGAAAUCACCGGUGGCAAAUGGAAGGUUAAUUGGGCCACGAUGACCAAGACAGAGCGCCAUGGUGGGUUGGGCAUCCACGACCUCAGUCGCUUUGUCCGGGCACUACGGCUGCGGUGGCUUUGGCUUUCCUGGAAGCAGCCGACCAGGCCCUGGGUUGGCACUGGGACACCUUGUGACGCCACUGACCGAGCUUUGUUCAUGGCUUCCACGACGGUGACCAUUGGGAAAGGGGAUAUUGCAUCUUUUUGGUCGUGCUCAUGA
rnacentral:rRNA from 1 species